UAACAUUGCGGUCCCACUGUUGAGCAGAGCAAGCGCACGUAGCAGGCAGGAACGUAAAAGCAAAAAGGCUUUGCAAAAUAUUAUUAAUAAUUUAAAUAGUGCGUAGAAUAAAAACAGAAUAAUGAGCACCGGUGGCAGUGGCGGUGGUGCAGGUGGAGGAGCUCGUCCUCCGCCACGAAUUGAUGGAAUGGUGUCGCUAAAGGUCGACAAUCUCACAUAUCGCACCACACCUGAGGAUUUGCGUCGUGUCUUUGAACGCUGUGGUGAAGUUGGCGAUAUUUACAUACCGCGCGAUCGCUACACACGUGAAAGUCGUGGCUUCGCUUUCGUCCGUUUCUAUGACAAGCGCGAUGCCGAGGACGCACUGGAGGCCAUGGAUGGCCGCAUGCUGGACGGCAGGGAGUUGCGUGUUCAAAUGGCUCGCUAUGGACGCCCCUCGUCGCCGACACGUCGCAACAGCAGCAGCAGUCGUCGUGGUGCCGGGCUAGGCGCUGGUGCCGGUGGCGGAGCUGGUGGACGACGCCGUUCACGAUCUCGUUCACCGAUGCGACGUCGCUCACGCAGUCCACGCCGUCGCUCAUCGUAUUCACCGCGCUCACGUUCCCGUUCCGCCGGCAGUCGCUCACCCGGACGUCGCAGCAAAUUCUCGCGUAGUCCGGUGCGUGGUGACAGUCGCAAUGGCAUUGGCGGUGGUGGUGGAUUAGGAGCAGGUGGCUCGCGUAGUCGCAGCCGUUCCUAAAAUGCGCUGAAUACGUUCCAUAAUAAUGUAGGUUCGAUAAGCCUUGUAAUUGACUUGUGGGAAUAACGACAACUCCAGGGAAGUGAAGAAUUCUUCAAGCGGGCUGCAUCUGAUCAUCUCAUGCUGUGUACCAGAACAGCAGGCAAGUGUGCGGCGGCGGUUGUUGCAGUCCUUGCUGCCGUGUUGCUGUUGCUGUUAAUGUAAAUGUAAAUGUUAUGGCUGGCUGUCGCUGUCGCUGUGCGUGGGCGUAGAAGAGAGAGAGAGAGAGGGAGCGAAAAAGUGAGCACGAGAGAGCUGAAGCAAAGAGCAGCGUGUGAUUUUCUUAACUCAUGUGCAUGAGAGAGCGACGUACUCAACUAAAAGAGCAACGACGAACGUCGGUGUCGUGAGCGGAGAGCGAAAAUGGUGCUGUUAAUGUUAUGCUGCUGCUCUUCAGGCUCCCCCGCUCCUGUGCUCUCACUGUUGCUGUAGCUGUUAUCGGCGAACUUCAAUGCGCUGCUGAUGCUGCUGCUGCUGCUUCGAUCUUCCCCACUCGCACUCACCCAUACGCACGCACCCACACACACAAACACAAAUUGCUGCUGUUGAGAAGCUCUAUGUGUGUGUCUCGCGUCUGCGUCUGCGUCUCUGCCAACAAUUUUCGCUGUGUUAUCGGCGUUUCGCUGCUUCACUCCUUGUUCGUAUUGGUUGCUGCUGUUCACCGGCGUUGUUCGUGUUUCUUCAACUGCAGUUGCUGUUGCUGUUUCCUGUGCCUACUUUUGACUUUAGCCAAAUUUGUAGCUGAUGUCCCAACGAGAGAGCCGAGCGACAAAACGACUUGUGGCGAUCUCCAAAGCCACAAGCAACAAAACUUUGUCUGUAUAAAAUCAUAAUCUUAAAGACGGGCUCUGGGUAAGUCGAAACAUUUAACAGUUGCUAACUAUUUACGUUUAUGUUGCAGCC